rnacentral:rRNA from 1 species
AUUGAACGCUGGCGGCAGGCCUAACACAUGCAAGUCGAACGAGCGGCGGACGGGUGAGUAAUGUCUGGGGAACUGCCUGAUGGAGGGGGAUAACUACUGGAAACGGUAGCUAAUACCGCAUACCAUCGGAUGUGCCCAGAUGGGAUUAGCUCGUAGGUGGGGUAAAGGCUCACCUAGGCGACGAUCCCUAGCUGGUCUGGGAGGAUGAUCAGCCACACUGGAACUGAGACACUGCCCAGACUCCUACGGGAGGCAGCAGUGGGGAAUAUUGCACAAUGGGCGCAAGCCUGAUGCAGCCAUGCCGCGUGUAUGAAGAAGGCCUUAGGGUUGUAAAGUACUUUCAGCGGGGAGGCGUUACCCGCAGAAGAAGCACCGGCUAACUCCGUGCCAGCAGCCGCGGUAAUAC